rnacentral:lncRNA from 1 species
GCCAAGACACAAGAAGAGGAAGGUAGGAAGAGGAAGAGGAAAUACAGGAAGACAGAGAACAUGAGGAGUAGGUAGGUUUUUCUCUUUGGUAAUAGGAAGAAGAAAGAGGUCUUAAUUCUCUUUUAUCAAAGAAGAGUGAGAAAAGCUGGGUUGAGGGAGUAAGAAGAGGUGUGGGAAGGUGUGAGAGUGGUUUCACACCAUAGGAAAAUACACUCAGUAGAGAAAUGUACUAGGAUUGCUAGGUACCGUUGGGUGCUUGUUUGGGGUCUGUGAUAAUGAUCAGGAUGCCACCGGUCACUGCAGAAGUCUUGAGUGUCAUUUUCCUAGCAUCGUUUAGCAUCUUUGAUGCAGGCAUGUGUUCAAACAAGUUGGAGUUUUGACAGGUGAAUGUGAUAUCUUCAUCAGAGGGACAAGUUUGUUGAGGGCGGUUGCCGGGGAGCGAUGGACCAUGAAAUCUAAUCUGGGAAACAGGGAUGUGAAAACAGAAAAGGAAUGAUGAAUAGUAGAAAGUGAUUACUGACAUAUGUUAGAACCAUGGGUAGAGGAACAAGUGAGCUGGAAAGAUAGGAGGUGGUAUUUGAGAAGUAGAGUAGUGAAAGUGCAGUUUCAGAGGGGGUGCCAUCACUGGUGAUGACUAGGGUCAUCGCCAUGGGUGAAGAUGGCUGAAGUGAAGUGUGGAAAAAAUGUACUGGAAUUGGAGGGGCCAAGACCAGAGAGACCAGGAUGUGUCAUCCUUGUGAGGUCAAACAUCUCUGAGAAUAAUGACAGCUAUAAGGGUGGGGAGGACAGUGAACCAAAAUCUUCUACGAGAGGACUCUAGGAAGGAAGUCAACAUUUGACAGCCAAGAAACAGAAGAAAAUGUGGCAAAUAAGAAGGCAGGAGACUCAAAAGAUCUGGGCUUGGUAGGAAGAGAAAUGGCUUGGGUAUGGAAAUGAGGAGCAUUUUAUGCUUUCCUUCUGGUCCUGAGAUGAGAGGAGUGUGUGAAGGUUGCCAGGGAGUGGUAUCCUCAGGGAACAGCCAGGUACAUUCCAGAAGGUGGAGAACCAGAGGAUUUUGCUGAUCGUGGAUCCAGAAUUCAUGGAUCUAGAAGGCAUGGGAAGGGCUAACAGAGGUCAGGAAAGGGUGAGGGAUUGGGUAAGACUAGGCACUUCUAUGAGGCACAGAGUCUGGAAAAGGGACAAGGAACAAGACCAGACGGUUAGGGAUAAAAAUGGAGACCAUCUUGUGGCUACAGACAGAAGCUGGGAGGAAAAUGUAAAUACUGGGCUGAAGACAAAGAACUAUUUCUUCUGAGGUCUCCAAAAUAAAUGUUUUCUCCCACUGUUUCUCUAAAAUUGAUAUUGACUCUCUUCAAAGGAAUGAGGGGGGUGCCAGAAGCACUAAAAGGGGAGAAAAAUUGAAAGGGAGAGAAAAAAGAUUUCUUUCAGUCAUUUACAAACAGUUUUCUUCUGAUCCAAAUAUCAUUAACUGUUCUUUCCUGACAAUUUGCAGAGGAUAGAGAUUUUAAGAAGAACGUAGCAAUCCCUUAUAAUUUCCCCCACUAGAGAAUACCACUGCUAGUAUUUUUGCAACAUUCUUGCCUGCCAGCCCCCAACACAUAUAUUGGCAUCUUCACAGAGAUGAUACAUAUACAGAGUAUCACAGUGGGAACGAGGAAAGCUGGAGAAGCUCACCUUCCACAGCCCUGAUGGUCUCAAAAAGUGGUGAGGGGUUGAGAAGUAUCUAGGAGAGUGGCAAAUGUCCACAAAGACUGCUCUGGUGAUGUCAGCAGGAAGUCAGCAAGGGAUGUGUAAAGAGUUACUGUGCAACACUGAGUGCUCAGAGAGAUAACUGGAUUCUGCCAAUUCCUAUCUGCCCCCCUCCCACCCCCCAGGAUUCUCUAUGUGGACAUUCUGCCAACUCCCACUACUCCCCUACACCCAAAUUACAAAAAAAAAAAAAGUCACUGGAGAGCAUCAGUUACUCUAGAAAACUUACAGCAAUUUUUAAAAGAUCACAUCAGCAAAACUGAGUUUCCAAUUCUCCCCUGUAAUUGCUACAUGUGGCAUGAUUCUCCUUCUCUCCCUAGCUGUAAGCUUAAAAAUGAAAUAAAGAAAAGAGGAAAUUUUAAAAAAACAAAUAGACUUUAAUUCAGAUGUUGGCACACAUCAUAAAAGAAGAAAUGACUUAAAAGAAUAUGGUGGGCAACUUAUUUUGUCAGAUAACCGCAUUGUGAGGGAAGAGGGGGCCCAACUCCCGAUCUGAACCCAGAUCAUCUGCAUUCACCCUGAAUUAGAUAACGUAAUUGAGACUUAUGUAAGAGUUUUAAUUUUUCAAAGUCUUUCAAAUACACUCUAAAAGAAUUCCUAAACAAAAUUUCCAUACUAAAAAAAACUCACAUGCUGUCCCCCCGCAAGAAGUUUAUCUUCUGUACCUGUCUCCCAUUCUAGUGUGUAAUACAACUCCCAAUAAUUCUUUUACUCUUAAGAGUCUUAGUCCCCAAGGUCACGAUUCCUGCUCUUGCUUUUUCUUGACAGCACAGAGGCAUGAAGUGGCAGCAGGUGCACAAAGCUGCUGACCUGGAGAGCAGAGAGGUGGACAGCUCCAGGCCAGGAGGGCUGCAGGACCCGAGCAGGUGGGCCAGGGGACGGGCAGGCAGCAGAGACAAGGAAGUGAGGAGGAUUCACAUCAGGGCUGGGACACCAUGGGGUCUGUGGUCCCUGACCAGAGGCAGAGGUCAGGGAGAACUAGCAGGCAGGAACAGCACCAGGCAGCUGCAAAAGGAGAAGUGUGGCACUUAACACGUCACUGAAACUUUAUCCUUGGACAAACUUCCUUCCUGCCCUUGCUUCUGAGUUUUUCUCAAGCCACAGUGGCACUGGGUAAGUAAGCAACACAGAUGCAUGACCAGGUAAGGGUUUUUUUUUUUUCCUUUAGAUGCAGCCUGAAAAACAAAUGCAUAUCAAAUCCUCAUGAAUCUUUUCCCCUAAGGUUUUGAGCUUGAGAUAAAAAUUCUCCUGGGUUUGUCCUUACUGAAUGGAUAAGGGUUCCCAGCGAAUAGAUUUUUUUUUCUUUUAAUUAACCAGGCAAUUGUAUUCUUAUCCAUUAUAAGGAGGACCCUCAAAGGACAUCGUCUGCCCAUGGAGUCUUAUGUCCUUCAGAAACCAAAGAUGUCCUCUUAUCUCUUCCCCAUUGCUUAAAGGGAUGGGGACAAAGGAGGAAAACAUAGUUAAACCAGCACCCAUGACUUUAUUUCUUAUUCCCUCAUUCUGAUUCUUCAUUGCUUUCCCUCUUUCAUUCCAACUCUUCAGUUUCUGCAAAUUUCUCCUCUUAUGCAGUGUUUCUGUGUAUUUUUAGCUGAUAGCUAAAUCUGAGAAUAAUAACAGCUACCUUUAGAAUAGUGCCCCACAGAGAGUAAGUCCUCAGUAAAUAAUCAAUUGAAUUAAUUUAAAUAUGAUUGUCAUUAUUAGCGGAAUAAGCACUUAUUAUAUGCCAGACUGCAUUUAACAUUUGUGAUUUCACUGUACCUUCACAGUAGUUUGAGAUUGGCAUUUUUCUCCCCAUUUUACAGAAAAGGAAACUGAGUCACAGAAAGGUUAUGCUGCUUCUCUCAGCAUGUACCAAUGUCUGCUGUUAAAUGGUGGAGUCAGGAUCCAAUAGCAGCAGUCUGAACCAGACCUCAAUGAUGAGGGUUUUUGUUGUUUUUAUUUGUUUUAAUUUGAAUUAUAGUUAACAUACACGGCAAUAUAGGUUUCAGAAGUAGAAUUCAGUGAUUCAUCACUUACAUACAACAGCCAGUGCUCGUGACAACAAGUGCCCUCCUUAGUUCCCAUCACCCAUCCAGCCCACCCCUCACUCACCUCCCUCCAUCAACCUUCAGUUUGUUCUCUAUUGUUAAGAGUCUCUUCUGGUUUGUUUCCCUCUCUUCUCCAUGAUGAGGGUUUUAAGGGGAGUAUGGUCGGCAUUGUAACCUACGAUGGGAUUGGGAGCAUCAAAUCUAGGAGGUUGUAAAGAUAUUUUGUGAGCAUUCUUUCUAAAUUUUGAUUAUUAACAAUUUCAAACAAGUAAAAAUAAGUAGAAUAGUAUAAUAAACCUCCUUAUAUUAUCAUCCAGGUUCAAUAAUUAUCUAUCUUGUUUUAUCUAAACCUGCAGUCCCCACCAUUGCCCUAAAUCAUUUGAAGCAAUUCCCAAAUAUUGUUUCAUGUGUAAGUCUCGUAUAUAUCUCUAAAAGAUACUGACUAUAUUUAAAAAAUCAGUAACAUCAUUUCAGCUAAAAAUAAAAUAAAACAAAAAAUGAGACUACUCUGAGUCUUUAGAUACUUAAUUUUUAAAAUACAUACUAUACCUUACAGUGGAAUGGGAAAGGGAGAAAGCUGUUUUUUGAUGCAUAGAGGUGUCCUGAAAUGUAGAAAGUCUAGAUGCUUCUUUUAACUGUGGAUACUCAGUGAAGGUAAGGUGAGGUGUUACAAAUAAGGAGAUUUAGUAUUAGGAAAUAUGCUGCAGUUCAAGUAUUGAGAUUUUCUUUUGACCUUAAAUACAAUGCUGGGGAAAAUGGGCCUUACUAUACAUCUUAUUCCCCAUCACCAGAUUUGUGACCUGCCAUCUUUCAGUGCUACUGCUUUCCAAGGAUACCUUUUUCUUCACGAAUUGCUACCUAUUGAAGUGAUGCUCAUUUCAGCCACGCAGAUCUGGACAGUCUUUGCCUCCACCUCUCUGGCAUUUUUUUGUUGACUGCAUAUUCCCUGGCACAUAAGCAAUCUGAAAAUGGCCAGCUAUUCUGAAUUACACCCUUAUUUUAAAUGUGUCUGUUUGUGUCAAAUGGAAAUGUUUAUUUUUAGAAGAUUAUUGAUAGAAACUGGGGAGCAACACUGAAGUAUCUUCAGUUUCCUGAAAGCACGUUGAAUUCUCCAUUAGAUGAGCCACGGAUAUUGUUCACAUUAUCUUUCUAACAUUGCACGCGUCCUUUGUGUAUUUAAGUGUUCCUCAAAGUAUGUAGAAUUAAUGUUAAAAAGUAAAUACCUACUAUGAGUCAGGUAUUGUCUUAGACUUGAAUAUGAAAUAGUAAAUAAAACAGACACAGUUUCAGCCCUCUCACAAGAGACAGACGUUAAACAUAUAAUCGCCUAGAAUAUAAAAUUAGAAACUGUGAAGGAAAAGAGCAAGAUACUAGAAAUAAUAAUGGGAAAGCCCUCUUUGAAUUGGAGGAGGGAAGUGGCAGAGGCUGUUGUGAGAAAGUAAUAUGUGCUGUGACUUGAAGGAUGACCAGAGUCAGCUAGAUGAAGUGUGUGAGGAAGAGUGGUUCAGGCAAAGGAAACAGCAUGUGCAAAGACCCGGAGGCAUGCAAGAAUUUGACGAGUUCAAGGACCCAAAGGAAAUCCAGGACAGCUGAGUAUAAAAGGCAAGUAAAGUGGGAGAUGAGUUGGAAAAAUAGGGAGGUUCUGGUCGAUCACAUUAAAAUACUUGAAUUUCAUGUGAAAUGAGAAGCCAUUGAAAGUUGUUAAAGCUGGAGAGUGAUUUAGUCUUUGAAAGUAUUUUAAAGAUCACCUUGGUUGCUGCAGGGAGCUUUAGUGGAGGACCUUAAAGAGAGGAACUGGGGAGGCUAAUUAGGAGGAUAUGGCAAGAGAAUGUGUCCAAGGAGAAAGAAAGAGGCCUAUAAAUUGAAAGUACAUUUUGGAGGUAGAACCCAGGAACCUAAUGAUGGAUUGUUUAUCUAAUACAGUUGACCUUUGAACAACAUGGGUUUGAAAUGCAGAUCCACUUAUAUGCAGAUUUUUUUUUAUAAAUACAGUGCAGUAUUAUAAAUGCAAUUUCUCUUCCAAAUGAUUUUCUUAAUAACAUUCUUUUCUCUAGCUUACUUUAUGAUAAGAAUGCAGUAUAUAAUACAGAUACAAAAUACGUGUUAAUAGUCAUAUGUCCUUAUGUUAUCAGGAAGGCUUCCAGCCAACAAUAGGCUACUAGUUAAGUUUUGGGGGAGUCAAAAGUUAUAUGUGGAUUUUUGACUGCACGAGGGGCCAGCUCCCUAACUCCCACAUUGUUCAGGAUCAAAUGUACAGCUUAUAUUGAGAUAAUCAACAUCAUUUUAGGUUUUGGGCUUUUCACAUAUCAAUCCUAAAUAUUGAUGGCCCUGCCACUUGUAUGGUCUCAUUUUAGGCUGAUAAUAAUCAAUGAUACUCAUUGAGCACUUACUGGUUGCCAAAUGCUGUGCUAAGUGCUCUACUUUGAUAUCUCAUUGAAUUCUUCUUCUGAUCCUAUGGAAAGAUUUUUAGAGAUUAGGAAAUGGACAUUUACAGAAGUUAAGCAACUUGUCCAGCCAUUUGGCUUACAAAUAACACAUCUGGGAUUCAAUCUCUUUUCUCCAAUUUCAAAACUUGUUUUCUUAAGUACAAGCUGACAUUGCUCCGGCAUACCAAAAGCAAGAAUGAUAUAAUCACCUGCUUCUCAAGUGGUUCUAACAAUCCCUGUCUCCUGCUGUUUACUCCCUUAUAGAAUCUCCUUCCUUUGUGUGUAGUAUAGACCUUGUGACUUGCCUCUAACAAAUAGGAUAUAGCAAAAGUGAUAGGAUGCCACUUGGACAGUAGAUUUUACAAGACUGUGAUUUCAGUCUUAAUAGCACUCUUUCUUGCUCCCUCGCUCUCAUGCUCUGAUGCAGCAAGCUGCCACAUGAACUGCCAGAUGAAAAGCCCACAAUACCAGGAAUGAGGAAUAGCCCAAUGUAGAACUGAAUCCUGCCCACCAACAACCACGUGAGUGAGCAGGGAAGUGGAGGCUUCCCUCCUGGAGCGUUGAGAUUUCUGCAGCGAACACCUUGAUUGCAGCCUGUGAGAGAAUCUGAGCAAAGGUCCUAAUUAAGCCAUGCCCAGAUUCCUGACCUACAGAAAUUGAGGUAAUAAAUAUUGUAGCUUUAACCAACCAAGUUUCAGGAACAAUUUGUUACACAGCUAUUGACAACUAAUACAAAUGAAAAUGUCAGUGUUAAUGAUAUUAAUUAUCAUAAUAUCUUGCAUUUGUGUAAGGUCUCAAAUUUUUGCAAAGUAAAAGCAAGUUUCAAAAUAAUAAAAUUCGGGAAAAAUAUUACUAAUCAUCUUCCCUUAAAAUAUAGCAGCUGCGCUUGAAAGUACCACCUGCAUUUUCAACAAGAAAAAUUGGUUUAUUCACCUGGUUUUUAUUGCCUUAAUUCCCAUCUCUAAAACCAUUUGAAACAUGCUAUCUAGCAAGGGACUUAUUAUCUUCUUUAUACUAAGUUAUUAGUAACAAGGCACGUUUAAACCAUCUGGCCUGGAUGUUCUCUUGGACUUCAAAUUUGUAGCAGACAGUUGGAUUUCUUACCCUGUUCUGGGGUUUCCUAAUCCCUAUAUCAAUUCCCACUCCAAGAGAGGGACACGGAUUUUAAGCUGUCAAUCAGUAUUUUGCCAGUUGAGAUGAAAUAUAAAGGGCAAAAAAAAAAAAAAAAAAUUUACAUAAGUCCAGGGCUCAGAUUGGGCAAGACCACAAAGAAUCUUUCUAAAAAGUUUUCCCAGAAGGAGCUAAUUACUGUGGGAGAAAGUAAUCUUCAUGUUUGGCUUGAAUAACCACAGAAACAACAAAAUGCAAAUAUUUAAAAAAUGAUGGGAAAAUUAAAAGGAGAAAAACUUUUGAUUGCACUCUCACAGGGACUUAACUUUUUUUUUUUUUGAUGCAGUGAGUGUAAGUGUAAAUGUAUAUACCCGCACAUAUACAUUGACAGAAAGAGAAAUAAAGGACAUAUACGAAACAUUCAUUCAUUUCACAAAUAGUUUUUGAGCAUCUAAUAAGUGCCAGUGAAUGUAAGAGGUAUAACACAGUAUAGAACAAACACAGUCUCUACCCAGACAAAGCCCAAAUUCUAGUGAGAGAGAUAGAUAAGUAAAAGCUAAAGCAAUAAAUCAAUAAAUAAUUACAAGGUGUGAUAGUGAUUGAAAGUGAAAAGGAGGAAUUUUUUACAUUGGAUGUUCAGAAAAGGCUUGUCUGAGAACUAAAGGAAGGGUGGGGUCAACUAUGUCAGGAGCUGGGGGAAAGCUUUCCAGACAAAGGGAACAGCAAAUACAAAAGCCCAGCGAUCAGAACAAGCGUGGAAUGUUCUAGAAACUGUUAAAGGUCCGUGAGCCUGUUGGAAAGUGAGGUGAGCUGAAGUGGAGCAGUCGUCAUGGGCCAGAUCAUUUUGGGCUUUGUAGGCUCUGGAAAGGAGGGAAAUUUCACUCUUAAGUUUAAGAGAAUCUAUUGAAGGCUUUUAGGCUCCAAACGGCAUCAUCUGAUUUAUGUGUUUAAAAGAUCGUUCUCAUGGCUGUGUAUAGAACAGACUGUAAGCAAGCAAGACUGGACAUCAGAAGCUGAGUAGAGAGAGGUACUGGCUUGGAGCAGAGGGUGGCAAUAGACAUGAAGAAUAAUGGGCAGAUUUUGGAGGCAGGAUGAAAAGGGUGUACGAGCUAAAGGAAAGGAUGAAUCAAGGAAACCUCUUAGGUUUGGUGUUUGAAUUAAGUGAAUGUGGUGCCAUGUAUUGUUCUGGGAGGUCCCUAUAGAGAUCUCUGUAUUGAGGCACCCACGAGAUCAGUUUUGAACAUGCAAAGUUUGAGACGUCUGUGAGAUAUUCAAGUAAAGCUAUAAUUUAGGAAACAGGAUAUCUAAGUUUGAGCUGGAUAUAAUAAGUAUAAAGCCAAUUUUAUUCUCUGAUUGGCCUAAAUUACAAAUAUACACAGCAUGUGCUUGGUGAUUUAAUUCUUUGAUUUCUUAAGGAACUGAUCUGAAUCUCAGAUCCCUUUCAGUGCUUUUACAUUUUUCAUUGUCUCCAAACACAAACCGAUAUCAUUAAAAAUGUUUGUUGUUUCAUGCUUUUUCUAAUUUUUUAGUAUGCUAAUUUUCCUCUAUAAAAUAGACUUCUCAAUUAGUUAUGGAAAAGGGGAGAGAGUACUUGCUCUAAAGCAGGCAGGGACAACAUAACAUUAUUUCACUCACACAUAACAAUUCUCUAAUAUCUUUUUUUUUUUUUUUUUGCAGGUGAGGAAACUGAGGUUCACAGUAUUGAAGUAACAAUGACAUAUGGUUCAGAUUGGAAGCCAACUUUGGUUUUGGCACUAAAAACCAUGUCCCAUCUUUAGAGAGGCUAUAAAGCACAGAGUCUCUCCUUCUGUUUCUCUUUUAGUUCCCAUAUUUCUUUGCACUGUUUUUACAUCUCUUUUAUAGUUCAACACAACUGAACCCAAGAAGCACUUAGAGCAUCCCUGACAUUUGUGUUGCUGUUGGCUACACUUCUGCUGAGUUUUGGACAUGCUCUGUUCCUCACCUCCACCACUUGAUAGUAUCCUGCCAUUGUCUCAGCUGCUUAAUAAAAAGAAAGUCCCAAUAUCCGCUCUUCCCAGAAUGUCAUAAAUAGCUGCUAUUGCCUUGGCAAUUUUCUGGACCUCUGCAUCCAGUGAGGAUUGGCUGUUACCUAAACUGUUCAUUUUCUCCUGGCCAUAAUCCACAGGAAACUAGAUUCAUUAACUCUGAGGCUUGCUUAAUGGAACAAACAACUUGAUUUUCUUCCUCUUUUCUCUUUGUUCUUUCAUAAUAUGUUUUCUUACUAUAUUUCCUAUUCUGUUGUUUCACCUUUAAUUUCACUAUUUUCUUUUUAUGUUGUUUUAAAAAUAAUCCAAUGACCUUUCCCAGUCUCCGUUUUUCCCCCUGCAUUUGUAUUUUCCAGACUAGUACUAUUUGAAUCUUAGUACUUAUUUGUUUAAACAAACUAAUAGCCCUGGCACAGGACUUGAUGAUUCUAUUUCAGAAAGAAACUAGUCAUUAGAAGAUAUACACAUCUUAAUCAGAUACACUAGUCAAAGGAACUCCCACAUUAUUUUUUAAUACAAACUCCUCUGCAGUGAUUUCUAUGUGUCAGUCACUGUUAUAAACUGUGAGCUAUCACUUAAUCCUCCCAGCCAGUCUCUGAGAGUGGCUACUAUUAUUAUCUGCAUGUUUCAAGUGAAGACACCCCCAAUAAAGUAGAACAGGUACUCAGAAUAGAAAAAUCUAUAUUCACUUUCACACAUGGAGAUGGAAUCAAACCCUAAUCACCUGACAUUAGCAUAUAUUUGGGGUAUUGUAUAAAAGGGAAGGGGGAAGGAACCAGAAAAUGGGGUUUCUGAUUAUGCAAAGAUGUGGUCUGUUCCCAGGAGAAGGGAGUGGAGUUGCAGAUGGAGAGAACUGAAGAAGAAGGCAUGACUUAUCCCGUAAGCAGGAGAGGCAGGCUAUGAAGGAAGACUGACCUCCUUGCAAAGGUAGAUGUCUCUGGUGCCCUUCCUUUUGAUACGAAAAUAAAAUGUUUUAUGUUAGCUAGAACAUUAUUCUUUUCCUGCUAGCACUCUAUAGAGAAAUUUGCAUACACCUGCACAGUAUGGUAGACUUAUCUGAAGAGACCAAAGAAACAUGAUGGCCUCAGGGAAGUGGACUAUGGGUCAGGGUUCUAAGUAGUGAUUGGCAGUACUCUUGGGUGGUCCCAGUGGGUGGCCCCAGUGGGAGCAAUUGUAGAGAAGCAUUCUAGGAAAAUGUAAAGCCAAAACCUGGCUACUGUAUAAAGAUUGCUAUGAAUGGGGAAAAGAGGGAGCUAGGAAACAUUUGUAUUUCAUAACACAUACGAAUUGCUUAUAUGAUAGGAAAAGAAUACAAAUAUGAUUUUUCAUAUAUAAGCUUAUGUCAUUAUAUGUUGUAUUGUGACACCCUGAUGGCAUUUGAAUGUUAAAAAAAAAUCACAAGACCAGGAGUAGCUCAUCACUUUGCACAAGUAUCCUUGUACAAACAAGUUUUUGGUGAGAGGUCCUGGCUUAUCAAUAGCAACACAGUUGAGUUCUAUUUGAACCACAAAGUAUGCAUGACCUAGAAUCAAGUAUUUGGAAAAUUAAAGAUCAACUUAAAAUAAGCCUACACUGUAAGCGUAACCAAAGAAUGCAAAACAAAUUAAAUCGAUAAUGAUAAAACUAAUAGUCUUGUAUCAUUAAAGAGUAAGAGUCAUGGUGAAUAAGAAGUAUGACCAAUCCAACAUAAUGUCAUUGAUAUACUGAUUCUAAGGGAAGUAGGACUUUCAAGCAUCUGUAACACGUAAGUAGUAAACCCUUUUUGCAAAGCUGCUUACCAGCUGGUAGAAUACUGAUUUAGAGUCUUUGGUAAAUUCUAGAAUAAGUUUAAUUUAGCUCAUAAAUACCACAUUUGAGGAAUUCUUAAUAAAUCACUCUCUAUAACAGUUAGGAAUGCUUUGGGCCGCAUAUUACAGAAAACUCCAGCUGACAGUGGCUUAAGCCAUAAGAAUAUUGUUCAUGUAACCAUAAAAAAUUGGGUGCUUCUGGUUUGGGGAUCAGAUGAGCAGGUCCAAAUUUUAGGGCGUUUGGCUGAUGUAUCUGUGAUUCUCUAGGUCUUUCAAGAGGCACCAGGCAUCCUGUUCUCAGGCCUAAGAAUUAAAAGACAAGAAGGAAGGGUAUGGCCAGAGUGGUGAGGAGUUUCUCUUUCAUGCCUUUCUGCUUUUAUCCAGGAGGAAAAAAUCUUCCCUAGAAGUCUACUCAGAAGACCUCCUCCUAUGUCACAUUGACCAGAACUGUGUCCUAGGAGCAAAUAAGCUUCAAGGGAGACCAGAAAGAUGAAUCUAUAUAUUUUUUUUCUUUUUUCUUUUUCCCCAGCUUCUAGAGAGAGAAAUGAGCAAGGAAGAAGGAAUUUGAAAAUGGUUAUUGGAGGGGCGCCUGGGUGGCUCAGUAGGUUAAACAUCCGGCUUUGGCUCAGGUCAUGAUCUCGUGGUUCACGAGUUCGAGCCCCAUGUCAGGCUCUGUGCUGACAGCUUGGAGCCUGGAACCUGCUUCGGAUUCUGUGUCUCCCUCUCUCUCUCUGUCUCUGCCCCUCUCCUACUCGUUCUCUG